CCAUCAAAAUUUUAAUUAAAAAAAAAUACUAAGUAGUUUUAAUUGGUUGAUUGUGGGUUUUUGUUUGUUUUUUGGGGGGGGAGGGGGGAGGAAGCAAAAAGUAGAUAUAUACAAUAUUAAUCUACUCUUAAGAUUUAGUUUUUAAACUGGCACUCAGGGAACUAAAAUAGUACUCAGGGAGUUCAACAUAAGGGAUUAAUGGUUUACCUUUACCUUGCCGGUUUCUUAAGCAGUUUUUACCUCAAAUCUCCUGUUAUAAUUAGUAUUUGGGGGUUUUGGAGGGGAGGGUGAAAGGGAGCAGAUCCUAAGCUAGUUUAAAAUGUCAUAUGUUGUUUGAACAGAAAUGGUGUACAAGAUAAAAAACAUGCUGCAAGAAAUUGUCAAGCCAGCAAUCUGGCUGAAAAUGGAUUAUAAGGAUGCCUCCCCCAUUUAUUGGGAUCAUUAUGGAUUCUGAUGCUGUCAUGUAAGUCACUUGCAACCCUUCCCAUAACUCUCCCGACGUACUCUCUCUGUUCUGCCACUCAACUCUGCUAAUGAAAGCACUGAUUUAAAAAUCACACACGGGGCAAAGACAUCCCUGGCAAUUCCUUCUGGGUUUGACAGUGAAGCCCUUGAUUACUUUUGAGAAAGGUUUUUCAAUCAGUUGUUGCUGACUUUGCUAUGAUUGUGUUGAGA
rnacentral:lncRNA from 1 species